ACCAGUAAUAUCUAUUCUGAGUCACAGUAUUAAAAAACGCAACGAUUUCUCUGUGUUUAGAAAUUCAUAGAAAUCUUUCUAGAGACGCCUCCUGGUUGAUCUGGAACCAGACGAGUAUUGCUACACGUAUCUGAUAUUUGAAGUACUCCGUUUUAGACGUUUUAGAGACAUAUUCAGAUAAAGUAUUUGGAUUAGAUUGGAUAAGCAAGUCCACAAUAGCAGUAUGGAUGUAAAUAGUGUCCAUUUGGAUAGCAGAGACAGUGCACCAAUAAUUGACAUAGAUUACAAACAGAGGAAAAGAGUAACAAUUCUGUUAUUCUGUCUCAUCGCUAUCGCUGCGGUCAUCAUUGCAAUCUUGGCCAUCGCUGGAGUAUUCUCAUCUUAAAUAGCUCAGCUGGAGAACCACAGUCAAAUGUUCGAUCACAAUCCAGAACUAUUAAAUAUAGUUAACGCAGAGGGAGAAAACAUUUAUCGCUUAAAAAAUUAAUUAUGGACGUAAAAAUAAAACCAACAUAAUAUAUUCAAAUAUUGUAUUGUGUGUAUUGUAUUCAAGCAAGUACACAAUUUUGUGUAUAUUCAGCAACUGCAGUAUUUAUGCAACUAUAUUCAACGUGGCCUUGGUUUUCCAGUAUUUUUAAUUGAUUGAAAGGCUGAAUAAAUCUAUGCUGGCUGAAUGAAAUGUACUUGUUGCAAUAGGAGUCGACAUGAAACUACUGCUGCGGUUGUCAGCAAUAUUAGGGAUUUAAGAUCACUGGUGGAUCCAGAAAUUCGACAAAGAGGGCCGGGGCCCAGGGGAGGGACUUUGACAGAUGGAGGGCGCUAAACUACCUCAGCCCAACCAUGGUCGGGGCUGAGGUAAGCUAAUUUAUGAUUAUGGCACCUCUAGAUAGAUGGUCGGAAAUGACACUCUCAAAAUUUGAAUAUAAUGGGUUUUUUUUCCAAUCUUUAUCUGCCACUGAAUUUUUAAUAUAAACACAGCUUUAUAGGUAUAUUAUAUGAAUGUGCAAUAUUGAUUCAGAAAAAUGUCCAACCCAUGUUAUAGAGGGAAGUGGAGAUGAAUGAGGAGCAGACCAAAAUGAAGAGUGCAACUUCAAAGAGAGGAACGGACACAAAAAAUGAACAAACACAUGAAGUUAAACAAAAUGUUAAUGAACAGUCAGUUACUGUCUAAACGAUUUUACAGGUUAGGACAGGGGAAACUUUUGCAAUUGGAGCUUUUAGUGAAUCACCCCUUACAGGAAAUUGAACAACUAUGUUAUUCAAAUAUUGAAAGUAGUUAUUGGAGUAAGUGCAAUUAUGAGUAUUAACAUUUUCAGUAAUCAUAGAUAGGGCUUUCCUAUAAUAUUCAAUAAUUAAAUUAUAAUGUUAAAAUGUAUAAUUCCCCUCAUUUUAAAUUCUUUUUUGAUUUCUAUUUCUAACUAUGUUUGGUUAUUCUGAACAAUGGUACCCGGAUGUACGGAUGUUGGGUGGUUAUUAUUUAUUCAAAUAAUCUUUAUAUAUCAAUAUUUAUUAAUAUAUAUAUAUAUAUAUAUAUAAUUAUAUAUAUAUAUAUAUAUCCUUAUGGUAAUUUAAAUAUAACAUAAAAUGCAUAUUAACCAAACAGUCUUGUUAAAUUACGUAAUUGUUGUAUGAAAUAUUUGUCAUGUUAAUGUUUUGUUGAAAUUUCAUAAUUUUCUACAACAGUUAUUUGUAAGCUGCAAAUAAUUAUUUGCGUAGCCUGUGCCAAAGAGGUCAGUGGCCUAAAACAUAUCCAUGCUAUCAAUAAAUGUCAAUUUAUAUGAAUA